UAUGGUUGUAGAUAGCUAGCUAACUCACUAUAGAAAGACUAGUAUUGUUUUUAUAGUAGAAGCUUUUUCAAAAAGAAAAAGGAUGAAGGCAAGAAGGCGCAGGCAAAGUUAGCAGCAACAUCGGCAGCAGAAGAGCCAGGAAGCAAGAGUGCCACUGCCUCGUACAAGCUCAGCUGCCAUGACUUAAGUCCUGAGAUAGAGGUCAUGAAAAAAAUUCACUGGAAUAGAAUUUGAAAUAGAAACUGAGGAAGAGGAGGAUGUGUGGGUUUUGGCGAACAUCAACCAAUUCAUUCUUCUUGUGAGGCCUUUGAGAUGUGACAGUUUGACAAGUGGAAACCUCUGGGGAGAUGCUUCCCAUAACCCUGCAGGAAAUGAAAUAUGGAUUAUCAGGAACUAUCCAUGAAGAACACCAUUGGCCAGAUGUGAACUGCACAAUCCCAUCUUUGUUUUCCUGUUUCCUCCACUGUUGGAAGAAAACAACCAUUCCUGAAUGAUGGCUAAUUGGUUUCAAGCAAUGGCAAACCCACUGUCUAACAAUGCCCACUGAGCAUUAUUAACAGCCAGAUACAGAAGCUAAAUCCUCCAUCAAGACACAGGUGACAUUUGGGAACAGCUGGCUGGCCUUUCUGAGCUCUGUGCUCCACUUCACAGGUGUCGCAGAGCAAAUAUCCACUGGUCAGCUGUCCAAGAGGCAGUCUGAGGCCAGUUUAUGUGAGGAGGUGAGAUUGGAGAAGUUUUAAUUCAGUCAGUAAGAGUUAUCUUGCGUGCACAUGCCCAAUGUCCAUAUCCAACUGGCACUACUGGCAGAACAUCGUGUUGUGAGGGAGGAAUGCAAAGUUCAUGGUUCAGUGUUUGUGCUUAUUUCGUGAAAUGUUAUAAGACGGUUUUGCUUCUUGGCUCUGGGCAAGACCACCUCUGUUGAAUCCAAUUCAAUUGAGUGUAGGCCAUGACCAAAGAAAAUUCUUGAGGCUCAUCAGUUCACACUUUUUUAUGCUGCUGAGUGAAAGAGGUAGAAGAAAACAAAACAUUGUGUAAAAAUAAAACUGCAUCAUAUUAAGAGGUGUUUCGAAUGUUUUGUUCACCCUUAUUUACAUACUGAGGGGAAUAUAGAAAAGCUCUCAAUAUGUAUUACCAUAAUGUUUAAUCAACACAUCUACCCAGGUGUUCCUCCCAGGUAAACACGUUACUCUCUUUGUUGUCAGCAACUGUCAGUAACGAAGCCAAGCUCUAUAACAGAAAUGGCAUAUUAUGAAUAAAGGAAUUGCAAGUGUAGAAUGAAAUGCAAAAUAAAAAAAACUAUUCCACUACAUCUGUUAUGUAUCUGUAAGUGUGUUUGUUUACAUUGUAUAUUUUUAUUUCCCCAUGGGGAUUUUUCUUUUGAUCAGUAAUUGAGAUGCAUGAACAUCACACACUGUGGAAUAUUUAUUUAUUUAUUCUCAAAGACUCACCAUAGUAUG